GGGACAGAGCUACCACCACUUUCCUUUUUGUAAGCGUGGGUUGAUAAAAAGGGGAGAGGUUGCCAAGAGAUGUGCUUGAGCAGGAGGAGACUGCCCUGCCAACAGCCAGCCUUGGGUAUCACUCUCUCAAAAGGAACAUGACAAACCUGAAGACAUACCUGAGGAGGUAACUACAGCUGAACAAGGGUAAAGAGGCGUGUGUUCCCAUGGAUGAUUCAAGCCUGUCCAGUGGUGUUGACGUAGACAAAGGCUUUGCCAUUGCCUUUGUUGUUCUUCUAUUUCUGUUCCUAAUUGUGAUGAUUUUUCGCUGUGCCAAGUUGGUGAAGAAUCCCUAUGAGGCCAGCUCCCCAACCACAGAACCAUCUCUGAGCUGAACUAUGAGAAAGCCUGAUAGACUCCCCCUCAGAGGAGGUUUGAAAUCUGCUAUACAGAUACUUAUGACCCACACUUUAUAUUAUUUAGCCUCUCUAUGUGUCAGCCUUCUCAUUCUUGCAUUCCACAAUAGGCACGUGAGGAUAUAAGAAGGAUCUCAAGAUAAAGUCAUCCUGGAUUAUCUGGGUGAGCCCUAAGUCCAAUGACAAAUGUCUUUUAUAAAAGACAGUAGAGAAGAUACAGAGAGACAGGAAAAGGCCAUGUGAAGACAGAGGCGGAGAUUGGAGUCAUGCAACCACAAACUAAAGGACCCUUGGCUGGAACCACCAGACGCUGGAGGAAGCAAGGAAAAAUUCUCCUCAGAGCCUUUGGAGGGAGCUCAGCCCUGCCAACACCUUGAUUUUAGAUUGCUAGCCUCUAGAACUGUA